AAUGUAGGUGAUUAGAUACAACUGUAGUCCUGGCCGUAAACGAUGCGGACUUGGUGUUGGAAUGGCUUCGAGCUGCUCCAGUGCCGAACCGAAGCUGUUAAGUCCGCCGCCUGUUAAGUACGGUCGCAAGACUGAAACUUCCAAUGGAAUUGGCGGUUAAGCACCACAACGCGUGGAGCCUGCGGCCUAAUUGGAUUCAACGCCGGACAUCUCACCAGGCGCGACAGCAGAAUGAUAGCCAGGUUGAUGACCUUGCUUAACAAGCUGAGAGGAGGUGCAUGGCA
rnacentral:rRNA from 1 species